rfam:Pseudallescheria apiosperma strain IHEM 14462 SEQ_SAPIO_0110, whole genome shotgun sequence.
GGAUCCAUGGCGCAACGGUAGCGCGUCUGAUUCCAGCAAAAGUUGGAGUGUCCAAUCUCCUGCGGAGGUUCCAGAAGGUUGAGCGUUCAAAUCGCUCUGGGUUCA